rnacentral:misc_RNA from 1 species
AACGCACAUUGCGCCCACUAGUAUUCUGGUGGGCAUGCCUGUUCGAGCGUCAUUUCAACCCUUAAGCCCCUGUUGCUUAGCGUUAGGAGCCUACCGGAACUCUCUGGUAGCUCCCCAAAGUCAGUGGCGGAGCCGGUUCGCACUCCAGACGUAGUAGCUUUUACACGUCGCCUGUAGCGCGGGCCGGCCCCCUGCCGUAAAACACCCCAAUUUUUAUAGGUUGACCUCGGAUCAGGUAGGAGUACCCGCUGAACUUAA